UACGUAGGUGGCUAGCGUUGUCCGGAUUUACUGGGCGUAAAGAGCGCGCAGGCGGUCGUUCAAGUCGAGUGUGAAAGCCCCCGGCUCAACUGGGGAGGGUCACUCGAUACUGAUCGACUCGAAGGCAGGAGAGGGAAGCGGAAUUCCCGGUGUAGUGGUGAAAUGCGUAGAUAUCGGGAGGGACACCAGUGGCGAAGGCGGCUUUCUGGCCUGCUCUUGACGCUGAGGCGCGAAAGCUAGGGUAGCAAACGGG
rnacentral:rRNA from 1 species